rnacentral:rRNA from 1 species
UACGUAGGGGGCAAGCGUUGUCCGGAUUUAUUGGGCGUAAAGAGCUCGUAGGCGGCUUGUCACGUCGGGUGUGAAAGCCCGGGGCUUAACCCCGGGUCUGCAUUCGAUACGGGCUGGCUAGAGUGUGGUAGGGGAGAUCGGAAUUCCUGGUGUAGCGGUGAAAUGCGCAGAUAUCAGGAGGACCCCCGGUGGCGAGGGCGGAUCUCUGGGCCAUUACUGACGCUGAGGAGCGAAAGCGUGGGGAGCGAACAGG